CAUAAUUUUCAUAUUGAGUGCAUUCACUUGCUUGGCAAGUCAUCACUUGAUUAAAAAUAUUGUUCCAUUACAUAGAUCAUAGCCAUGGCAUAUAUACUUUUGGCAUUUUCUCUAAGGCUCUCACAAAGUCACGUUGCCAUGUGGAUGUGUUAAAUGGGGACGUCUGCUAUCCAAGUAGUUAAUGUCCUGUGAUUACUAUCUGGCUGCAUAAUAUUACUGCUCUAAGCGGGAUGCAUUUUUUUGAACUUUUACAUGUCUCUAGCAGUUUUAGGUGAGAAUUGCAUUUGGCUGUUUGCACUAAAGGUUAUAGUUUAUCAUUGAUUUUUCUUACUAUCCUGCUAGGUGUUUGUUUAUUCAGCAGUAUUUUGAACCAUAUUUAUUACAAUGCAGUUAAUAAGAGAAAGAUAGCAGAAAGGAUGAGUGCCCUAUUAGAAUUGUUCCCCAAUAUGAAUGACAGAAUGAGGAAUGCUUCAUGAUGUAUGAGAUUUAGGGUGCCUUAAUAGGGAGCUUUGCUUUAUUAAGGUGAUUUAUGGCUCCCAAAUAAAAUGUUUGGUGAGCUAAUUUGAUUAGGACUUCCAUGUUAGGCAGUAACUCACCUUCACUGGUUUAUGAUGUAGCUUCAAGAAGAAAAUAAGAAGAGCGGUAGCAGUUGGUCCUGACAAAGGUGUCUUGGGGUUGUGACAGUUCAGUAUGAAAGGUCAGUCCAAUAGUUCUCUCUAUAUUAGUAUUACUUUUAACCAAACGUCAUGUACACAUUUGUAAUUUAUUCACAAGAAACACGAAUGUGAAUAUAACCAUAUUAGUAGACCUUUAUCUAUUUUAAUUUGGUUUCCAGGAGAACAAUGUGCAGGUUAUGCCCUUCAAUUUUUUUCAGUUCUCGGGAUUAUUCUUCUCUGAACAAAGAACAUGUACAUUUGUUGUAUUCUGUCCGACUACACAAAGUGGCAUGUUUCAAGCAUGAUUGCGGACUAGCCGUAAUUCAGUUGUCAUUUUGGCUGAUAUAUGUGGCAUCCAGUGGCAUUGUCCCUCUCUCUUGUCACUCAAACAAACAUGGAUGAUUGAUACACAUCACAACAACAUUGGGCUCGAAAACACAAUAGAGUCAGGAAAAACCUUAGCAUCAAAGUUUACACACUUUACAAGAAUCAUUGAUAAUUUGGAGAAGGAAGAACAAGACAUGGAUUUAUAUUUUGACGUGCCAAAGAUGACAAGAUGUAUCAACUUUGUUGCUCACGUAUCGGACUUAAAUGUUUCAAUAACUGCACAUAUCUUAUUUGCAGUCAUAAUAUGGAUGGAUGUGUACUUUAAAUGAAACUUUUUGGUGAUUUUGGUUCAGUAAAUGAGAUACUUUUGGAGUUC